GUCGAGCUUGGUAAUGCGGGCUUGUAAUCCAAGUGGGGACAAUAAGGUGAUGGGACAUUGGGCCGGACUCGGAAAGGUUAUCUACUGGCCUGCCUGUUCCAAGUCGGAAGUUGAAUGUUCGGACUAGGCAGAGGCUUGUGGUUCGGACACUCUUAGAGUGGAGGAGACUGCGUGAGGCUGGUUUCACAGAGCAGCGUCCACCUCCCGCUUUCGACGGUGGAAGGAUUACGGGCCAGUGCCUCCCAAGCCCACUACGGCCCAAUAAGCCGGCUCUAAUUGGACCAUCACUUUU
rfam:Brassica rapa chromosome A5, whole genome shotgun sequence.